rnacentral:rRNA from 1 species
CAGUCGCCGCGGGAAUACGAAGGGGGCUAGCGUUGUUCGGAAUUACUGGGCGUAAAGGGCGCGUAGGCGGCCAUUCAAGUUAGAUGUGAAAGCCCUGGGCUCAACCUAGGAAUUGCAUUUGAUACUGUUUGGCUUGAGUUCGGGAGAGGUGAGUGGAAUUCCCAGUGUAGAGGUGAAAUUCGUAGAUAUUGGGAAGAACACCAGUGGCGAAGGCGGCUCACUGGACCGACACUGACGCUGAGGCGCGAAAGCGUGGGGAGCAAACAGGAUUAGAGACCCCGGUAGUCCCUGUCUCUUAUAC